rnacentral:rRNA from 1 species
UACGGGGGGGGCAAGCGUUGUUCGGAAUUACUGGGCGUAAAGGGCUCGUAGGCGGCCAACUAAGUCAGACGUGAAAUCCCUCAGCUUAACUGGGGAACUGCGUCUGAUACUGGAUGGCUUGAGUUCGGGAGAGGGAUGCGGAAUUCCAGGUGUAGCGGUGAAAUGCGUAGAUAUCGCUUGGAACGCCGACGGCGAAAGCAGUCUGCUGGGGGCCUUCUGACGCUGAGACACGAAAGCCAGGGGAGCGAACGGG